rnacentral:lncRNA from 1 species
UCAAACGACGAUGCAAAGCGAAUAAGAAAUAAUUCGAAGAGACGAAGUCGUACUACGAAUAGAGUAUAUCCAGAGAUGGUCUGGAGGUUAUGAUAUGCAUAGAUUGUGAGAUGAAAAGAUAAGAUUAAGCUCUGUGUGGAAUCGGAUUUAAGGCAAGUUUUCCUAAAUCCUUCCUCAUAUAUAUAUUGCAUGUUCUGAUUAUUCUGUCAAGAUUAUGAUAUUGUUUAUACUGAAACCCUUCUCAAAUAAACUCUUACUUCUGAGCAUGAAACCAUGAUUGUUUUCUUCUUCCAAGUUUUGAAAAGCUAAACACCUAAUUACUCUCAAUUUCUAUUCUGAUCCAUUCUUUCCAAUCCUCAAGAUAUUAAAAAUACCAGCUUUACAAAUUAAUUCGAAGUUCAGACCGUCAUUGAAGCAUGUGUUGCUCAGUGAUAGUCAGAAUCUAGAAUGAACUGGGAUCUUCUUGAUUAUUCAACCCGCCAUUGUCAUGCUGGUUUAGCAGGCUAAAUUCAGUUGUUUAGCCGAUAAUGGAGGAUACUGAAUAGUUAGGAAUUUCCUGAACUAUGAUUUAUCAAAAGACAGGCUGUGGUUUAUGAAAUGUUGAU